UACGGAGGGAGCUAGCGUUGUUCGGAAUUACUGGGCGUAAAGCGCGCGUAGGCGGCUUUGUAAGUUAGAGGUGAAAGCCCGGAGCUCAAACCUCCGGGAACUGCCUUUAAAACUGCAUCGCUUGAAAUCCAGGAGAGGUGAGUGGAAUUCCGAGUGUAGAGGUGAAAUUCGUAGAUAUUCGGAAGAACACCAGUGGCGAAGGCGGCUCACUGGACUGGGUAUUGACGCUGAGGUGCGAAAGCGUGGGGAGCAAACAGGG
rnacentral:rRNA from 1 species